AUUGAACGCUGGCGGCAGGCCUAACACAUGCAAGUCGAGCGGAGCGGCGGACGGGUGAGUAAUGGCUAGGAAUCUGCCUGGUAGUGGGGGAUAACGUCCGCUAACGGGCGCUGAUACCGCAUACUAUCAGAUGAGCCUAGGUCGGAUUGGCUAGUGGGUGGGGUAAAGGCCUACCAAGGCGACGAUCCGUAACUGGUCUGAGGGGAUGAUCAGUCACACUGGAACUGGGAAACGGUCCGGACUCCAACGGGAGGCAGAAUGGGGGAAUAUUGGACAAGGGGCGAAAGCCGUAGACAGCCAUGCCGCGUGUGUGAAGAAGGUCUUCGGAUUUUAAAGCACUUUAAGUUGGGAGGCGUUACCAACAGAAUAAGCACCGGCUAACUUCGUGCCAGCCGCCGCGGUAAUAC
rnacentral:rRNA from 1 species